UGCCCCUACGGGACGCAGCAGUGGGGGAUAUUGCACAAUGGGGGGAACCCUGAUGCAGCGACGCCGCGUGGGCGAAGAAGCGCCUCGGCGCGUAAAGCCCUGUCAGCAGGGAAGAAAAUGACGGUACCUGAAGAAGAAGCCCCGGCUAACUACGUGCCAGCAGCCGCGGUAAUACGUAGGGGGCAAGCGUUAUCCGGAUUUACUGGGUGUAAAGGGGGCGCAGACGGCGAUGCAAGCCAGGAGUGAAAGCCCGUGGCCCAACCCCGGGACUGCUCUUGGGACUGCGGGGCUGGAGUGCAGGAGGG
rnacentral:rRNA from 1 species